rnacentral:lncRNA from 1 species
CCACUAUUAUAGAAAACCGUAACCCCAUUUCAAGUUUGAUGGCCUCCUCUUUCUCUCUUUAACAAAUCCCAUCCGCCCAGUUCAAACACCAUUUUUCUCUGUAGAAAAACCAGUCACCACCAAUUCAUCUUUCUACUCCGGUAUAACUACGACCACCAUCGUUGCCACAUUUGUCAUCCAUCCGACAUCGCAACCCACAAUCGUUAUUGUUGCCUAUCCAAGACUGAGAAUUCCAAACUACCACUACUCACUCUUUUUAUCCCUUUCUGUCUUUUGUCUUUUCUGGUCUACCACCAUAAACAACCGUCACUACCUCCUGAAACCCUAUAUCUAUACUAUCAGCCGUAUUUUAUCUUCACCACUGUUUAUCUCCCUAUUUCUAUGGCUGUCUACAACCAUUCUACGAGAAGUGUUUUUCACACCAUCGUUGCUACAAAUCUGUGUUAGUGUAUGUAAAGGAUAUGUGAAUACGUAUAUAGUUUUUUAGAUAUGUAUCUUCAAAUGAAGGUUAGUGAUAUACAUCAUUUAUUGAAAAAAGAAAUUUGCCAUGUCUUCAAGCUUCUAUCACCAUUUUCUUCCCUCCAGAAGUUUCACAUUGUAGCCCUAUAAAGUUUCACAUGUAUUUUACAAAUUCAUGUGUUUACAUAUUUUAUAUAUAUGUGUAUGUUUGAUAUCUGAGAUUUUACUCUUUUUUGUUUUUGUUUUUCAGGUCCAGGUCACACAUACUUAUGAUGUGUCUCAUAUGUGUACUCAUUGUUUUGAAGAUUUUGAUUUUCAAAUGUUUAUUUUAACUUAGAUUAGCUAUAUUUUGUUUUACAAAUCUGGAAAUGUUUAUAGUGCCGCCAACAGCGUUUUUAUAGUUUUGUAUACUUAAUGUGUUUUUUCGGAAGGAAACAAAUAUUGUGGUGUGUAUUUUUUGUAUAUAUGAAAAAGGGAAUGAAAGUUAGUUUUAUUUUUGUUCUUAUACUUGUUCUGAAUAGCAAAUAUAUGGUUAAAAAUAUCUUCACAUCAGGUUGUAAUAAAAAACUUCACAUCUGUGUUUAAAAAACUUAAAAGAUAACAUAAAUC